GCACCCUUAGCUCAGCUGGAUAGAGCAUCUGACUACGAAUCAGAAGGUCGGGCGUUCGAAUCGCUCAGGGUGCA
rnacentral:tRNA from 1 species